rnacentral:rRNA from 1 species
UGGGGAAUAUUGGACAAUGGGGGCAACCCUGAUCCAGCAAUGCCGCGUGUGUGAAGAAGGUCUUCGGAUUGUAAAGUACUUUCGACGGGGACGAUGAUGACGGUACCCGUAGAAGAAGCCCCGGCUAACUUCGUGCCAGCAGCCGCGGUAAUACGAAGGGGGCUAGCGUUGCUCGGAAUGACUGGGCGUAAAGGGCGUGUAGGCGGUUUACACAGUCAGAUGUGAAAUCCCCCGGGCUUAACCUGGGAGCUGCAUUUGAUACGUGUAGACUAGAGUGUGAGAGAGGGUUUGUGGAAUUCCCA